UACGGAGGGGGCUAGCGUUGUUCGGAAUUACUGGGCGUAAAGCGCACGUAGGUGGCUUUGUAAGUUAGAGGUGAAAGCCCGGGGCUCAACUCCGGAAUUGCCUUUAAGACUGCAUCGCUAGAACGUCGGAGAGGUAAGUGGAAUUCCGAGUGUAGAGGUGAAAUUCGUAGAUAUUAGGAAGAACACCAGUGGCGAAGGCGGCUCACUGGUCCGGUACUGACGCUGAGGUGCGAAAAGCGUGGGGGAGCAAACAGG
rnacentral:rRNA from 1 species